UGCUUAUUGAAGGUGCUGAUCAUUAUUAUUAUUAUUUUUGGAUAGCUAUCCAUUUCAAAUAUUGAUUAUGGUAAGUGAAGAGUUAUUAUGGGAGCUGUUUGUGCAAGCAGGUCCUGUUGUCAAUGUGUAUGUGCCCAAGGACAGAGUCACAAAUGCUCAUCAAGGCUAUGGCUUUGUGGAGUUCAGAUGUGAAGAAGAUGCUGAUUAUGCAAUUAAGGUUCUAAAUAUGAUUAAACUGCAUGGGAAGGCAAUACGAGUGAA